AAAUAUCCAUACGGUCAAGGAGAAAAUCGUCGAUUUCAUUUAGGAAAAUCCCUAUGCCACUAUUCCUAUAAGAAUCGCCGAUUUCAAUACCCAAAUCGCCGAUGCAAUCAGGAACACCCAAGCGCGGAAGCAGAUCGCAAUCGUCUGCCCCAAAUCGCAAAGUUAUGAUUAUAGGUUUUAGAUUUCAUCUCGAGGCAUGUUACAACUUUUAAUACUCAUAGACAAUUUCCAUUACUUAAAUAAAGAUAACUUCAAAUGAGAAGGAUUAUAAAAUAAAGGGUUUGACUUGGAUCCAUGUUCACCCUUACGUACAAAUAAACACAUAGAGGAUUUUUAAUUGUAAUUAAUGAAUAUUAUUUAAAUAUAUCUCCAAAGUCAGAAAUUAAUUGUAUCUAUUAAUGACAGCUUGUAGAUUGUUGGCACCAUGGACCGCGGACCGCGGCCCAUGGACCGAACCAGCCUCGUCGACAGUCCGAACGAACGAAUGGGUCCGGCGGGCGAGCCCACGAGGCCCAAGGACAGCAAGAGAAGGCUAUAAAUACCUCCCCUGGUCCAACAGAGGAGGGGGUUGAUAAUUCUUGAAGGAACACUUGUACUAGGUUGGACGGUAGCCCACACCGACGAGCCCACAUACCAACAUAGAUGUAUUUAUUAAAUUAUAUUGUAAUGUAGGCAAUUUACAGUCUAAUAUUUACAACUAACUCUAACUGAAAUACUCAUAACUAACUUAAUAUCUAAUUAUUAUCUACACAUCAACAACACUUUUAACUUUUCAUUUUGAGCACUUUUCAGCAAAACUUCUAAGUAACUAGCAAUUGACUCAAAUUCUGCUUUACCACAUAAUUGUUUGAAG
rnacentral:lncRNA from 1 species